CGAAUUGACAAAAUUUACUGUCAGGUGGGUGGAUCUCUAAAUGGUUCUACAACUCCAGAUGAUCAUUACUGCUGGGAAAGACCAGAAGACAUGGAUUAUAGGCGACCUUCCAUAUUCGUAACUGCAGGCCCCGAUCUUGCAGGGGAAAUGGCGGCAGCUUUAGCGGCAGCCUCAAUAGUGUUCCGAGACAAUGAUGCAUACUCUAAAAGGCUUGUAAAAGCUGCAGCAACUGUCUUUGCCUUUGCCAGGGAACCUGGAAGACGCAGAACAUAUUCUCAAGGACAACCUUAUAUCGAACCCUUCUACAACUCCACUGGC
rnacentral:misc_RNA from 1 species